AUACGGAGGGUGCAAGCGUUAUCCGGAUUUAUUGGGUUUAAAGGGUGCGUAGGCGGUUUGCUAAGCGGGAGGUGAAAUGCCGGCGCUCAACGUCGGAAGUGCCUCCCGAACUGGUGGACUUGAAUGACUCUGCCGUGGGAGGAAUGUGUAGUGUAGCGGUGAAAUGCUUAGAGAUUACACAGAACACCGAUUGCGAAGGCAUCUCACGAAGGGUUGAUUGACGCUGAGGCACGAAAGCGUGGGGAGCAAACAGGAUUAGAUACCCUGGUAGUCCACACUGUAAACGAUGAAUGCUAGGUGUAGGGGGUAUCGACCCCUUCUGUGCCGCAGUCAACACAAUAAGCAUUCCGCCUGGGGAGUACGGCCGCAAGGUUGAAACUCAAAUGAAUUGGCGGGG
rnacentral:rRNA from 1 species